AGCAGUAGCCGCGGGAAUACGAAGGGUGCAAGCGUUACUCGGAAUUACUGGGCGUAAAGCGUGCGUAGGUGGUGGUUUAAGUCCGUUGUGAAAGCCCUGGGCUCAACCUGGGAAUUGCAGUGGAUACUGGGUCACUAGAGUGUGGUAGAGGAUAGUGGAAUUUCCGGUGUAGCGGUGAAAUGCGUAGAUAUAGGAAGGAACACCAGUGGCGAAGGCGACCACCUGGACUGAUACUGACACUGAGGUGCGAAAGCGUGGGGAGCAAACAGGAUUAGAUACCCGAGUAGUCCCUGUCUCUUAUAA
rnacentral:rRNA from 1 species